CCUACGGGAGGCAGCAGUGGGGAAUUGUUCACAAUGGGCGCAAGCCUGAUGACGCAACGCCGCGUGGAGGAUGAAGGUCUUCGGAUUGUAAACUCCUGUUGCCCGGGACGAAAAGCUUCGACCUAACACGUCGAAGUCUGACGGUACCGGGUGAGGAAGCCCCGGCUAACUCUGUGCCAGCAGCCGCGGUAAUACAGAGGGGGCAAGCGUUGUUCGGAAUUACUGGGCGUAAAGGGCGCGUAGGUGGCCUUCUAAGUUGAACGUGAAAUCCCUGGGCUCAACCCAGGAACUGCGUCCAAGACUGGGAGGCUUGAAUCCGGGAGAGGGAUGCGGAAUUCCAGGUGUAGCGGUGAAAUGCGUAGAUAUCUGGAGGAACACCGGUGGCGAAGGCGGCAUCCUGGACCGGUAUUGACACUGAGGCGCGAAAGCCAGGGGAGCAAACGGGGAUUAGAUACCCCGGUAGUCCUGGCCCUAAACGAUGAAUGCUUGGUGUGGGUCGGGUAGUCGACUCCUCGCCGUCGCGACGCUACGACAUAGACAUCCGCCGUGGGAGGUACGGUCGCGAGGCGNGUAACGUACGAAAGUUAAAGUUAGUACGGCGUUGAGACGNGCGACGGACGACGACGAGGGAGGAGG
rnacentral:rRNA from 1 species